rnacentral:rRNA from 1 species
CUUGUUUCAGCUAGGAUGAAUUAAGGAAUGGUUGCCAUUUCAUGGUACAGCUGAGCUGACGUUGAGUAUAUGUGUGUCUGUAGCGGUUCAUUUCCUCCCUUUUCUUUCUGCAACAUUUAUCACUUGCUUAUAGAAAGAUUCAUCACAUAGGCCUUUAGCUUGAUUUUUCCGCAUACCAUGAGAACCAGCAUGACGUUGGAUAUAUGUUUCUGCAGGUUUCAAAAUGUAUCCAAGAUUGCAGGAAGUUAAUUACACCAUCAGUGGAAGAUGGACAUAGCCCCUCAGGACCCAUGGAAGCAUUAGGAACUGGUCCGCAACGUCUUCCAGUGUACGCGUACACACAAUUCGCUUUCCUUUUCUUUUCAAACUUUUUAUAGAUGAUGUGGUUGAGUUACUAAGCCUCUUCUUGCUGUGUCGUCUGCGAGGCCGAAGGGUGUGAGCAAUUUAACUGAGGCUGAUGCAAUCUUUGGACCAGUAGUGACGCCAGUGCCUGUAUAUCCCAUGACUGGUUCUUUCAGCUCAAUAUCCAUACACUACUUGUUUGUAUUCUGUAUUCCAAUGCAAAUUAUGAUUGUUGUUGAACACUUCUGCAUUUUUUGUUGAAACAUUGAUUAGGUGCUCCAAGAAUGUAUGUGAGCUUGACAUUGUAUUUAACUUCAUCAAGUGUGAAUAGGACUGAAGAAGAUGGACAUAGCCCUUUAGAUUAACCGAUGGCUGUAAGACCUAGAGAAGCAUUAGGAACUGGUCUGUAGUGUCUUCCAGUUGUUGUCUGCAAGGCCGAAGGGAAGUUAUUAAUGCAUUUGAGCUGCUCUAUCUGAUUGCUCAUCUCCUGAACCUGUUUUAGUUGAUAUAAAAGUGUUCUCUAUUUCAGAAAGCCAGAACACGAGAUUGUGCCCCCUCUUGCUCCAGGCUAUUCCUCAUGUUGCAACCUUUUCCCAUAGAAUUGAAAGGAAGAUGGAAGAAAUUGCAGGAGGAAUGGUGUUUCCAGCAUGACAUUCAAAACCAGUCAAGACUAUAAAGGGGCUGUGAAGGACGAAAUGCUAUGGAUCCAGAGUGGGAGGGGAGAGUUACCAACAAUGUAUCAAGGAUAAACCGUGACAUGGAUUCCUAAGUUCCAACUUACAUAGCAAAAUUAUAUAGGGAGAAUGCCUACAUUUUGAAAACUCUAUUACAUAGUUUGAAGGUAUGUUUCUUUCAAUUUUCAUUAUUAAAAGGAUCCUUAUUAUUGCUAAUUUGUCAAGCAUCUAUUGUCUAAUAACUCUUUGCUUCAAAUGAGACCUGUGGUGCAAGGGGUAAAUUUAUUAUACAUCUUAUUGUACACAGCAAGCGUUUUCUUUUUUUAUUAAGAGGGGUUAAAUUUGUUACCAUAUGUGCUUGCUCACAACUAAACCAACUAAACCAUGAAUUUUCUUUUCGAUAUGUUUUUUUUCAAACUCAGAUAUCUAAUCAUUAUAACCAUAUUUUCAACUAAAACAAUGCUUCCUUAGCUGGUUUGUACAUGUUACACAAUUUUUUUUCAAACUUGGAUUUCGCACUGUGAUAACCACAUUUUCAAUAUAACAUCGUUUAACACAUGAGCUUUGUACUACCAAUAUUGAAUAGGUUCUUGCAAAAUGAAACUAUUUUCAUUGACAACAUGGCUUUAGCGGGUCUCUGCGCCAUUUGGCGCAACGGGUCAACUAGUUUGAAUAAGAGAUCAUGACAUUGGAAACCCGAACAUAACUAGUUUGAAUAAGAGAUCAUGACGUUGGAAAUCCGAACAUAACUGAGAUAUGCGCGGUAUGGUUUGGAAAUGAGCAUGUUGUACUGUAUACACAUUGAAUAAGGUCAGACUGAUUUGAAUUUGAGAUACCGAUGGCAGACAUCGUUUGGACACAUUGCAUCUGUGCAUGGACACACUAUUCUAAUUGGAGAUGAUGGAUGGCUUUCGCAUUACAUAUCUAUAUCUAUACCCCUAUAUAUUAUAUUUUAUAUUUUUUAUAUAGUGUGCGGAUAACUAUAACUUUGAAAGAUGGUUGUUGGAUGAAGAUAAUCUGAUGGUGCAGAGAUGGCAAAUUCGAGCACUACUGGCCAUUUGAUAUCAUCUAGAUUCCACUAGAUUUUGCCACAUGUACAAUCUAGAAGAAUCCAUGGUUGAACUUAAGCAUAAUGCACAAACCUCAAAACACGAGCACUUUUUCUUUGUUCUAGAAUCUUCCGUAUCAGAAUUGCCCAAAUGUUUUUCUACAUGAUUUGCAUUAUUUGUUUUUACUUUAUGCUUUACAACGCAUAAUCCAUGAAUCUUAAAAUAGAUUAGUUUUUUAUAAAAAACUAGAUGAUUUUGAAUGAAAUGAACUAUAAGAAUUAAACGAACAUCUACAUCAUGCAUAUAUGAAUUCUUUUAUGUAUGAUUGGUUUGGCCUAGAUUGGUUUUUCUUGCCGUGGGAGAAAUGUUUAGCUUUGGAUUUGAUCUUGCGGUGUCCUUUCCCAGUGACAGAAGGGGCAGCAAGGCACGUAUUGCAUUGUUGCCAUAGAGGAUAACAAGAUGGGGUUUAUUUCAUAUUGCAUGAAUUUAUCUCUCUACAUCAUGUCAUCUUGCUUAAAGUGUUACUUUGUUUUUAACUUAAUACUCUAGAUGCAUGCUGGAUAGCGGUCGAUGAAUGGAGUAAUAGUAGUAGAUGUAGAAUCGUUUCGGUCUACUUGUCAUGGACGUGAUGCCUAUAUACAUGAUCAUGCCUAGAUAUUCUCAUAACUAUGCUCAAUUCUGUCAAUUGCUCAACAGUAAUUUGUUCACCCACCGUAGAAUACUUAUGCUCUUGAGAGAAGCCACUAGUGAAACCUAUGGCCCCCGGGUCUAUUCUCAUCAUAUCAAUCUCCAUCACUUUAAUCUUGCUUUGCUUUUUUACUUUGCCUUUUACUUUUCACUUUGCAUCUCUAUACCAAAAAUACCAAAAAUAGUAUAUCUAUCAGAUGUCACUCUCGUAAGUGACCGUGAAGGGAUUAACAACCCCUAAUCGCGUUGGUUGCGAGUAGCUAUCGUUUUGUGCAGGUACGAGGGACUUGAGCGUGGCCUCCUACUAGAUUGAUACCUUGGUUCUCAAAAACUGAGGGAAAUACUUACGCUACUCUGCUGCAUCAUCCUUUCCUCUUCGGAGAAAUCCAACGCAAGCUCAAGAGGUAGCAAGGCCAGGUUCCACGCCGUUCUGGAGGAGAUGACGACGACCUUCAGGGAACCUCCUGAGCCCCCAGAGCCUCCCGAGGCUCAGGGUCCUGAUGGCUCAUGAGGAGUCAUUCCUUCGACGCGUGGCUUCAACUGCACCAGAUCUACUUCAUCUACAGACCCAGAUAUGUGUCAAACAAAACCUUGUGUGGUUUGUCCUACUCCCGAUGCGCUGUGUUCCACCCUAGCUCAGCUGCUCCAAUGAUGGUAGGGUUCACCACAGCAGGGAUCCGCUCUCCAGACUGUCUUUCGCCGCAUCAAUUCUUCUACCCCACUGCCGGCAGCCAUGACAACUGCAUUACCAUCAUCAACUGAGAAGAUGACCUUGAGGACUACACAGUUAUUGUACACAAUGGAACUGAACAUGUAGAGCAAAAGAGACGAGCCUUGCAUGGCAAUAAAAUUUCAUGCAGAUGUCGCUCCAUGGUGGGCGCAAAGGCAACCCCCUCCACCCAUUUCGGAUUGUAAUCAAGAAGAAGAUAACUGUUUUGAGUGGGAUUCAGAAGGAGAAGACCACUCAUAUUUACCCCCUGAGGUCUUCUCUCUAACUUGCCAUUCGGCACGGAUAUGGAAAAAUCGGGAGUGGAAACAAGGUCUUCAGAGCGGACAAUGCUGCCUAAUGAAGCGCAUGUCUUGUUGGUUACGGAUAGCUCCUCAAAGGAGGAUUCAGAGACAGAUGACCA